ACUACUCCUAGCCCAAUAAACUAAUCAAUUUAACUAUAUUUACUGAUUAAUCAAACCAUUUACCUCGAGUCAAAGUAUAGGAGAUAGAAAUGACUAUAGGCGCUAUAGAGAAAGUACCGUAAGGGAAAGAUGAAAGAAGUAGAGUAUAAGUACAAAAAAGCAAAGAUUACCCCUUGUACCUUUUGCAUAAUGGACCGAACUAGACCCCGUCCAGCGAAAAGAAUUUCAGUCGGACACCCCGAAACCAAACGAGCUACCUAAGAACAAUUUUCGGAAUGAACCCGUCUAUGUGGCAAAAUAGUGGGAAGAUUUUUAGGUAGAGGUGAAAAGCCUAACGAGCUUGGUGAUAGCUGGUUAUCCAGAAGAGAAUUUUAGUUCAACUAUAAAUUUACCCCAAGAACCAAAAAUCCCCCUGUAAAUUUAUUUGUUAGUCUAAAGAGGGACAGCUCUUUAGACAGAGGAUAAAACCUGAACUAGAGAAUAAGAACUCCAAAUGUAUCCUUGUUGGCUUAAAAGCAGCCAUCAACAAAGAAAGCGUUAAAGCUCAAAUACUUCCAUUACCCCGAAUCCCUCAAUUUUAACCAAAUUCCUAGUUUUUAACUGGAUCAAUCUACUAGCAAGUAGAUGAGUUAAUGUUGGUAUGAGUAACAAGAAAAUUUUUUCUCCUAGCACAAGUGUAUAUCAGAUCGGAUGCCCACUGAUAGUUAACUCAAAAUGAAGAUAUAACCUAAACUUAAACCCUCUUCAACUAAUCGAGUUAAUCCAACACAGGAGUGCACUAAGGAAAGAUAAAAAGAAGUAAAAGGAACUCGGCCAAACACAAACCCCGGCCUGUUUACCAAAAACAUCACCUCUAGCCAUGAAAAGUAUUAGAGGCACUGCCUGCCCCGGUGACUUACGGUUAAACGGCCGUCGGUAUCCCUGACCGUGCAAGGUAGCAUAAUCAUUUGUUCCUUAAUUAGGGACUUGUAUGAAUGGCAGACGAGGGUUUACUGUCUCUUACUUCCUAUCAGUGAAAUUGACCUUCCAGUGAAGAGGCUGGAAUAUAAUAAUAAGACGAGAAGACCCUAUGGAGCUUUAACCCAUUGACUUAACAGGAUAAAUUCCACUCCUGAGGGACUAAUAACACAAAUCUAAACAUAAGUCAACGGUUUCGGUUGGGGUGACCUCGGAGAAUAAAAAAACCUCCGAAUAAAUCAAACCAAGACCUACUAGUCUAAGUUAUUAAUAUUACUUAUUGACCCAAUUUAUUGAUCAACGGACCAAGUUACCCUAGGGAUAACAGCGCUAUCCUAUUCGAGAGUUCAUAUCGACAAUAGGGUUUACGACCUCGAUGUUGGAUCAGGACAUCCCAAUGGUGCAGAAGCUAUUAAAGGUUCGUUUGUUCAACGAUUAAAGUCCUACGUGAUCUGAGUUCAGACCGGAGUAAUCCAGGUCGGUUUCUAUCUAUUAGCAAUUUUUCCUAGUACGAAAGGACCGGAAAAAUAGAGCCUCCUAUACUACUAGCGCUCUUAAAUUAAUAGAUGAAUUAAUCUUAAUCUAGAAAUAUGCCCAACAAAGACCCAAGAACAGGGUU
rnacentral:rRNA from 1 species